CCUACGGGAGGCAGCAGUGAGGAAUAUUGGUCAAUGGGCGCAAGCCUGAACCAGCCAAGUCGCGUGAGGGAUGAUGGUCCUAUGGAUUGUAAACCUCUUUUGUCGGGGAGCAAGGCCCGCCACGUGUGGCGGGAAGGAGAGUACCCGAAGAAAAAGCAUCGGCUAACUCCGUGCCAGCAGCCGCGGUAAUACGGAGGAUGCGAGCGUUAUCCGGAUUUAUUGGGUGUAAAGGGAGCGUAGACGGCAAGGCAAGCCAGAAGUGAAAGGGCAGGGCUCAACCCUGUACAUGCUUUUGGAACUGUGGUGCUAGAGUGCAGGAGAGGUAAGUGGAAUUCCUAGUGUAGCGGUGAAAUGCGUAGAUAUUAGGAGGAACACCAGUGGCGAAGGCGGCUUACUGGACUGUAACUGACGUUGAGGCUCGAAAGCCAGGGUAGCAAAUGGGAUUAGAUACCCGAGUAGUC
rnacentral:rRNA from 1 species